rnacentral:piRNA from 1 species
UAGAUAAGGUGUAUGAUGCUACAAUGUAUG